UUUCAUUUCAAAUUCCCGCUAAAAAUCCCUUCUGAAAUUUUGCUCAAAUGCUUUUUAAACUUUUUCAUCUUCCUUUUAAUUGUUUAUUCCAUCAACUCGUCUCGAAGUCUCAAACCGAUUCAAUAGCAGUGAGUUGACUUAGCAGCCGCUUAUUUCCGUAUGGGGAUGGAAACGAAGGAUGAGUUCACGACUCAUGAGCCAGAGCAGGCCCAAGUGGGAUCUCGAGGACCGAGGUUAGUAAUUAACGAGAUGGUGAUGAGGAACUUCAAGUCUUAUGCCAGUGAGCAGCGCGUCGGUCCCUUUCACAAGGUUAUAUUUUCUUUUAUCGUUUAAUUUUUAUAGUUUUUAUUUGGUUUCUAGUAAAGUUUGGAAAUUGAGAAGGAAAAUUGCAAAAUUUAUGUAAUAAUUUCGCGGACUCAACUUGGAAAUUGAGAAGGAAAAAAUGAAGAACUGAGAAGGAAAUUAAAAAUUGCAUGACUUCAACUCGAAUAGCUUUCUUUUUUUUUCUCCUCUUUGUUGUAAUUUUAACGGUUUCCUUUUGGUUACUGAGAAAGCACUGGAAACCGAGAAAGAAAAUUGCAGAUUGAUGAAAUUAUCUCAAAUUUAUAUUUUCGAUUACUUUUUUUUUUCAUAGUUAGAUGUAGAAAGUAAGCUUUUAGUUAGUUUGUUAGUAGUCUAACUCCUGCUUGGUUGCCAAGAAAAAAAAAUGUAAAAUGAGAAAGAAAAUAAAAAUGAUAUGAUAAUUGCACGAAUUGAAUUUGAGAUAAUUUAUUUUUUCUGUUAUCAGUGUUUCCUUCUUCUGGUUGCGAGAAAGAGGUGGAAAAUUGAGUGGGAAGUUGCUAGUCUAUAUGAAAAGUUCUAAAAUUUAACUCAAAUUAAAAGUAACAAGAAGUUUACAUGACUUGUGUUAAGCAUCCAACCUAAAACCAAUUGGCUAUAAGUGGAAGGGCCUGAUUUAAUGUAUUUAAUGGGUGCUCGAAGUCAAACAAAUUUAUUUAAGGUAGCUGAGAUCCAACCAACUCCAGCCUUAAAAAACAGAAAGAAAAAAGAACAGAAGAGAUUUUUUGACCCUGUUCUGGUUAGCUGUUAUGAGAUUCUUGCAGGUUCUUCAAAUGCAAUUGCAAAUUUUGAUAGUAAUAUACUGCUAACAGAAGCCUGCAACUAGAAAGACAAGGAGCAUGUCGAGAUUCUCAUUUCAGUGACUGUGCUUCUAUUUGCAACAAUAAUGAAAAAUUUAAAGGUGCGUGCAGUUCGCUGUGACAAUGGAGAAAAGACUGAUAUCUCUAGAGUCUUUUUGGUUGAACAAGUAAAAGGAAUGUUGGAUAAGAUUCAACAGAACCUAUUCGAUGUGGCAAAACAAAAAGAGAUGCCUGCAUUGAAGUUGUAAAACGUGGGAUGAGUUUGUAAAACCUGUAUUUUGUUAGGCAACAACAUGAGCUGGAUCAUAUUCUAAUCUCUCGAGGCAUAUGUAGCUCAUUUUUCUUAAAUGAUGUUUUAUGUUUUGUAUAUAUAAGAGGUGGAGAAAGAUGUGAAAGCUCGAACAAGGGGUGAGAUGGGAGCAGCUAAGUCUCUUUGUACCCCAUUCGAACAACCUGAACUCUCAGAAGCACGAGUAAGCAAGCAACAUAAGUUAUUCAGCUGAAGGAUUAGGAUCAACUUUGCUACUUAGUAUGUACGAAGGUGAGACACCGUUUAAGGAAAGAUCAUGGGAUUGAUGGUGGAAUUCCUGUUGUUUUCUCUUUAGAGAAACCUAAAGCUCAGCUGCUUCCUUUUAGAAGACCAAGUGGUGAGGAAGACAACCCUUCAGAUUAUCAAGUGAGGAUGUUUGCUUCUUACUUUUGCAGUUUUAAAGUACUCUGUUUGAUCACCUAACAUCAUGCAGUGGGGAAAUUCAUCCAAUAUAUUGAAGCAGAAUUUGAAAUGAGAAUUGAAAGUACAUUUGGAUGGAGCUAAAGUUGUGUUUCUUUUAGCAAUAUAUUUGAACUUGCUGGUGUUAGGUCCCUGGUUUUUGCUAUCUCUAGAUUUAAGGGUAGAAGGAAAAGGAAAAUAUUUAGGUCUACAUUAGUAUGUAAUCUACAUGUUUAAUCCAACAAUUUAAUGUGUUAUUCUGCUGUCAGUUAGUACCUGGGCAGGUUCAACAAUUUAAUGCAUUGUAUUUUUUAUUAGCUUGCAAUGUGUAUAGUCAUAGGAGGUUCAACUAGUCAGUUUGUUUUUCAAAUGUAUUAUUUAUUUUAGUUUUGAUUCUAAAUUUUUAUUUUUACUUUAAUA